GACUUUUUAACUAUACAAGUAUAUAUUUUGAAAAUAUAAAAAAGAGUAAUUCUCUAUUAGUCU
rnacentral:tRNA from 1 species